GAUGAAGAACGUAGCGAAAUGCGAUACUUGGUGUGAAUUGCAGAAUCCCGUGAACCAUCGAGUCUUUGAACGCAAGUUGCGCCUGAAGCCAUUAGGCCGAGGGCACGCCUGCCUGGGCGUCACACGUCGUUGCCCCCCCCAUCUACUCCUUCGGGAUUGCGGGGGGCGGAUGAUGGCCUCCCGUGUGCCUCGCCGCGCGGUUGGCAUAAAUGCCAAGUCCUCGGCGACGCACGCCACGACAAUCGGUGGUUGCGAAACCUCGGUUGCCCGUCGUGUGCGGUCGUCGCGCAUCGAGGGCUCGAAAAAAUUGCCGGGUUCCGGCUCGGCUUUCAACGCGACCCCAGGUCAGGCGGGGUUACCCGCUGAAUUUAAGCAUAUCAAUAAGCGGAGGA
rnacentral:misc_RNA from 1 species